rnacentral:rRNA from 1 species
GACGAACGCUGGCGGCGUGCCUAAUACAUGCAAGUCGAACGCAGUGGGGUCGGGUGAGUAACACGUGGGUAACCUCCCAUCAGAGGGGAUAACACUUGGAAACAGGUGCUAAACCGAUACUGAUGGAUGGACCCGCGGUGGAUUAGCUAGUUGGUGAGGUAACGGCUCACCAAGGCCACGAUGCAUAGCCCGACUGAGAGGGGGGUUGGCAACACUGGGAUUGGGACAGGCCCAGACUCCCACGGGAGGGAGCAGGAGGGAAUUUUCGCCAAGGGAGAAAAGUUGGACCGAGCAACGCGGGUUGGUUGAAGAGGGUUUUCGAUCCGAAAACUCUGUUGUUAGAGAAGCGGUAUCUAACCAGAAAGCCACGGCUAACUACGUGCCAGCAGCCGCGGUAAUUC